AGAGUUUGAUCCUGGCUCAGGACGAACGCUGGCGGCGUGCUUAACACAUGCAAGUCGAACGGAAAGGCCCUUCGGGGUACUCGAGUGGCGAACGGGUGAGUAACACGUGGGUGAUCUGCCCUGCACUUUGGGAUAAGCCUGGGAAACUGGGUCUAAUACCGAAUAUGACCAUGCGCCUCCUGGUGUGUGGUGGAAAGCUUUUGCGGUGUGGGAUGGGCCCGCGGCCUAUCAGCUUGUUGGUGGGGUAAUGGCCUACCAAGGCGACGACGGGUAGCCGGCCUGAGAGGGUGACCGGCCACACUGGGACUGAGAUACGGCCCAGACUCCUACGGGAGGCAGCAGUGGGGAAUAUUGCACAAUGGGCGCAAGCCUGAUGCAGCGACGCCGCGUGAGGGAUGACGGCCUUCGGGUUGUAAACCUCUUUCAGCACAGACGAAGCGCAAGUGACGGUAUGUGCAGAAGAAGGACCGGCCAACUACGUGCCAGCAGCCGCGGUAAUACGUAGGGUCCGAGCGUUGUCCGGAAUUACUGGGCGUAAAGAGCUCGUAGGUGGUUUGUCGCGUUGUUCGUGAAAACUCACAGCUUAACUGUGGGCGUGCGGGCGAUACGGGCAGACUUGAGUACUGCAGGGGAGACUGGAAUUCCUGGUGUAGCGGUGGAAUGCGCAGAUAUCAGGAGGAACACCGGUGGCGAAGGCGGGUCUCUGGGCAGUAACUGACGCUGAGGAGCGAAAGCGUGGGGAGCGAACGGGAUUAGAUACCCUGGUAGUCC
rnacentral:rRNA from 1 species